UAGGAACCAGUGGGUAUAAUAACAGUUC
rnacentral:sRNA from 1 species